CGCUGCCACUCUUCACAACGGAUCGUCCGGCACGUACCUGCCGGUGAAGGGAAGGGCCC
rfam:Micrococcales bacterium 73-15 SCNpilot_expt_1000_bf_scaffold_261, whole genome shotgun sequence.